rnacentral:rRNA from 1 species
UUAAAUGAGAGUUUGAUCCUGGCUCAGGACGAACGCUGGCGGCAUGCCUAAUACAUGCAAGUAGAACGCUGAAGGAAGGAGCUUGCUUCUUCUGGAAGAGUUGCGAACGGGUGAGUAACGCGUAGGUAACCUACCUGAUAGCGGGGGAUAACUAUUGGAAACGAUAGCUAAUACCGCAUAACAGUUUAGAACACAUGUUGUAAACUUGAAAGGUGCAAAUGCAUCACUAUCAGAUGGACCUGCGUUGUAUUAGCUAGUUGGUGAGGUAAAGGCUCACCAAGGCAACGAUACAUAGCCGACCUGAGAGGGUGAUCGGCCACACUGGGACUGAGACACGGCCCAGACUCCUACGGGAGGCAGCAGUAGGGAAUCUUCGGCAAUGGGGGCAACCCUGACCGAGCAAUGCCGCGUGAGUGAAGAAGGUUUUCGGAUCGUAAAGCUCUGUUGUAAGGGAAGAACGUUGUGUAGAGUGGAAAGUUACACAAGUGACGGUACCUUACCAGAAAGGGACGGCUAACUACGUGCCAGCAGCCGCGGUAAUACGUAGGUCCCGAGCGUUGUCCGGAUUUAUUGGGCGUAAAGGGAGCGCAGGCGGUUUAAUAAGUCUGAAGUUAAAGGCUGUGGCUCAACCAUAGUUCGCUUUGGAAACUGUUAAACUUGAGUGCAGAAGGGGAGAGUGGAAUUCCAUGUGUAGCGGUGAAAUGCGUAGAUAUAUGGAGGAACACCGGUGGCGAAAGCGGCUCUCUGGUCUGUAACUGACGCUGAGGCUCGAAAGCGUGGGGAGCAAACAGGAUUAGAUACCCUGGUAGUCCACGCCGUAAACGAUGAGUGCUAGGUGUUAGGCCCUUUCCGGGGCUUAGUGCCGCAGCUAACGCAUUAAGCACUCCGCCUGGGGAGUACGACCGCAAGGUUGAAACUCAAAGGAAUUGACGGGGGCCCGCACAAGCGGUGGAGCAUGUGGUUUAAUUCGAAGCAACGCGAAGAACCUUACCAGGUCUUGACAUCCCUCUGACCGCCCUAGAGAUAGGGUUUCCCUUCGGGGCAGAGGUGACAGGUGGUGCAUGGUUGUCGUCAGCUCGUGUCGUGAGAUGUUGGGUUAAGUCCCGCAACGAGCGCAACCCUUAUUGUUAGUUGCCAUCAUUUAGUUGGGCACUCUAGCGAGACUGCCGGUAAUAAACCGGAGGAAGGUGGGGAUGACGUCAAAUCAUCAUGCCCCUUAUGACCUGGGCUACACACGUGCUACAAUGGUUGGUACAACGAGUCGCAAGCCGGUGACGGCAAGCUAAUCUCUUAAAGCCAAUCUCAGUUCGGAUUGUAGGCUGCAACUCGCCUACAUGAAGUCGGAAUCGCUAGUAAUCGCGGAUCAGCACGCCGCGGUGAAUACGUUCCCGGGCCUUGUACACACCGCCCGUCACACCACGAGAGUUUGUAACACCCAAAGUCGGUGAGGUAACCUUUUAGGAGCCAGCCGCCUAAGGUGGGAUAGAUGAUUGGGGUGAAGUCGUAACAAGGUAGCCGUAGGAGAACCUGCGGCUGGAUCACCUCCUUU